rnacentral:rRNA from 1 species
UAGCGGCGAACGGGUGAGUAACACGUGGGUAACCUACCCCCGACACCGGGAUAAGCCCGGGAAACUGGGUCUAAUACCGGAUAUGAGCCUACUCCGCAUGGUGGAGGCUGGAAAGGGUCUCCGGUCGGGGAUGGGCCCGCGUCCUAUCAGCUUGUUGGUGGGGUGAUGGCCUACCAAGGCGACGACGGGUAGCCGGCCUGAGAGGGUGUACGGCCACACUGGGACUGAGACACGGCCCAGACUCCUACGGGAGGCAGCAGCGGGGAAUAGUGCGCAAUGGGCGAAAGCCUGACGCAGCGACGCCGCGUGCGGGACGAAGGCCUUCGGGUUGUAAACCGCUUUCAGCAGGGACGAGGCGAAAGUGACGGUACCUGCAGAAGAAGGUCCGGCCAACUACGUGCCAGCAGCCGCGGUAAUACGUAGGGACCGAGCGUUGUCCGGAUUCAUUGGGCGUAAAGAGCUCGUAGGCGGCUAUGCAAGUCGAACGUGAAAUCUCGGGGCUCAACUCCGAGCCUGCGUUCGAUACUGUGUGGCUAGAGUCUGGUAGGGGGAUCUGGAAUUCCUGGUGUAGCGGUGGAAUGCGCAGAUAUCAGGAGGAACACCGGUGGCGAAGGCGGGAUCCUGGGCCAGUACUGACGCUGAGGAGCGAAAGCGUGGGGAGCAAACAGGAUUAGAUACCCUGGUAGUCCACGCCGUAAACGAUGGGCGCUAGGUGUGGGAGGUCAUCGACUCCUUCCGUGCCGCAGCUAACGCAUUAAGCGCCCCGCCUGGGGAGUACGGCCGCAAGGCUAAACUCAAAGGAAUUGACGGGGGCCCGCACAAGCGGCGGAGCACGUUGCUUAAUUCGACGCGACGCGAAGAACCUUACCAGGGCUUGACAUGUAGGGAAAAGCCGUGGAGACACGGUGUCCGCAAGGGCCCUACACAGGUGUUGCAUGGCUGUCGUCAGCUCGUGUCGUGAGAUGUUGGGUUAAGUCCCGCAACGAGCGCAACCCUUGUCCUAUGUUGCCAGCGGUUCAAGCCGGGGACUCAUAGGAGACUGCCGGGGUCAACUCGGAGGAAGGUGGGGACGACGUCAAGUCAUCAUGGCCCUUAUGUCCUGGGCUGCAAACAUGCUACAAUGGCCGGUACAGAGGGCUGCAAACCCGUGAGGGGGAGCCAAUCCCAAAAAGCCGGUCUCAGUUCGGAUCGGGGUCUGCAACUCGACCCCGUGAAGUCGGAGUCGCUAGUAAUCGCGGAUCAGCAACGCCGCGGUGAAUACGUUCCCGGGCCUUGUACACACCGCCCGUCACGUCACGAAAGUCGGUAACACCCGAAGCC